GAGAGUAACAGGUUUUACUUUCACCGUGAGGACUGAAAUUCAUAGUACUAUAUACGAGGGUAGAAUAUUUCUCUAUGUAUCCAGAUAAAACUAAAGGUAAGAUCUGAUUUAAUAUAACUGUUACUGAUUUAAGAGACUAACUGAAACGUGAACACAAACAUCAACAACCUGCGGUGGUGUAAUGUAAUAUUAACUGAGCAUCAUGCUGCUUAAACUGAUAAAUAUUCUGCAUUGGCUUCCACACACUAAUUCAACAGUCACAAGUUGAUCAUAUUGUAAAUUUAAUGACGCUCAUUGAGAAUUUGUACAAAAAAUUGACAAAACCUGACCAAAAUUGCGGUGAUUGUGACUGUAUCUGUAUUUAACACCUUUGAAAGGAAGGUGUUAAUGCAGGAGAUCAGUGUUACACACAACAUGCUGCUGUUAUUGUAGUUAGGAGGAGACAUAGGUACAAUAAAAGAAGACAUAAAGAUCGCCUUUUUCCCCACACAUGUUAAUAUGUUUUAAAUGUCAUGCAUUUAUUUUUGAUUUCGCUUCAAUAAUCGUUAACGAAGAGAAACACCAUGAUUAAACUACAGGCUAUUGUUGCCUUUUUAUAGCCAAAGAAAACUGAACAUUCACAGCCUCUGCAUUCAAAAGAAUUUCAACAUUGACAUUUAUUUCUUCCUAUUUCCCUCUUUUCACCAACAUUAUAUUUUAAACUGAGGAUUUCCUUUUUCUCGGGUCUCUCGUCUCUCCCCCAGCUCGCCCCCUCCGGUGACCAUGAUGCAGCCAGACUGAAGCAGCACGUUGUGAAGGUGGACGCCAUCAUCUUGUCUUUGCAGCGCUGAUUCUGAAGAGAACGCCUUCACAUAGGACUCAAAGGAAAUCAAUGCCCAAAGGAAACAACAGUCCAGAGUCUGAUUCCAGCUCCGAAGAUGCCCUCAGAUUCAGAUCCAUCAGCAACCCCUGACAACAUGGAGGACUCGUCCCCUGAGCGUUUCCUGUCCUCUCUCCAUGGAGUUCUUCUCUUCAGUUAUUAACUAUUGAAAACAGCAGCACAACAUGCCAGACUGUUUGACAAGUCUGUGAUUGAAUAAAUGGAAAUGGAAUAUCAUGCGUAUCUUGCUAUGCUUAUUGGCUUUAAAUGUUUAGUAUUAAAUAAGUUUGAAGGCC